rnacentral:rRNA from 1 species
AUGUACUCACACUCUCCCAAGGAGGUGUUGAUUGCAUCAUGGCAAUUUGUUCAUUUCGGCGGAUUGUCAUUUGAUUCGGGGAAUUUCUUUCGUUGGGUUAUGUGCGAUAGCAAAUUUUAUCGUUUCUUAAAAAGUCUAAGAAAGAAAAGAGUUAUUAGGGUAGCACCCCCGAAGCAGGAAUGUUCGAAGGAGUUUCAAGAAUCAAGGGAUAAUCCAAUAACACUUCCUGUGUUUGGAAAUCAAAAAUUUGUUUCAAACUUAAUAAGAGGCAAUUGUAUUGUUGAUGCAAGUUCUUUAGACCCAAACCACCAAACUUUUUCGCUUUACAAACGUUGUUCCGAGCAAUUAGACACUGACACUUGUACAUGUUUCCUCUACAACCAACACAGUGAAAGCCAUCUAUUUUUUGAGCACUUUUUGGGGGAUCAUCCUAAAUACAGACAUAAGUAG